AUUGAAACACCGGUUCUCGUACGAACACCGAAGUUAAGCAAUUUCGAGCCUGGUCAUUUCCUACAUGGGUGACAGAUUGGGAAUACCAGGUGCUGUAA
rnacentral:rRNA from 1 species